rnacentral:miRNA from 1 species
UUUAUACGUCGAAUUUUGGUCGCGUCGAAUGCAAUUAAGACAAUAGAUGAGAUGAUAAACAGUCAUUAAGCUUCAUUAUCUAUUGUUUGAAUUGCAUUCGACGCGACCGAAAUUCGACGUAUAAA